GACGAACGCUGGCGGCGUGCCUAAUACAUGCAAGUUGAGCGCUGAAGGUUGGUACUUGUACCAACUGGAUGAGCAGCGAACGGGUGAGUAACGCGUGGGGAAUCUGCCUUUGAGCGGGGGACAACAUUUGGAAACGAAUGCUAAUACCGCAUAAAAACUUUAAACACAAGUUUUAAGUUUGAAAGAUGCAAUUGCAUCACUCAAAGAUGAUCCCGCGUUGUAUUAGCUAGUUGGUGAGGUAAAGGCUCACCAAGGCGAUGAUACAUAGCCGACCUGAGAGGGUGAUCGGCCACAUUGGGACUGAGACACGGCCCAAACGCCUACGGGAGGCAGCAGUAGGGAAUCUUCGGCAAUGGGCGAAAGUCUGACCGAGCAACGCCGCGUGAGUGAAGAAGGUUGUCGGAUCGUAAAACUCUGUUGGUAGAGAAGAACGUUGGUGAGAGUGGAAAGCUCAUCAAGUGACGGUAACUACCCAGAAAGGGACGGCUAACUACGUG
rnacentral:rRNA from 1 species